rnacentral:tRNA from 1 species
GCGGAGGUUGCCAAGCCUGGCCAAAGGCGCUAGGUUGAGGGACUCGGGGCGCGUAUUCAAAUCUCGCCCUCCGCACCA